rnacentral:rRNA from 1 species
UACAGAGGUCCCAAGCGUUGUUCGGAUUCACUGGGCGUAAAGGGUGCGUAGGCGGUCGGGUAAGUCUGAUGUGAAAUCUCACAGCUUAACUGUGAAACUGCAUUGGAUACUAUCCGGCUCGAGGAAUGGAGGGGAGACUGGAAUACUUGGUGUAGCAGUGAAUGCGUAGAUAUCAAGUGGAACACCAGUGGCGAAGGCGAGUCUCUGGACAUUUCCUGACGCUGAGGCACGAAAGCCAGGGGAGCAAACGGG